GUCCACGCUGUAAACGAUGGAUGCUAGACGUGGUGGGUCUUGACCCCUGCCGUGUCGAAGUUAACACGAUAAGCAUCCCGCCUGGGGAGUACGGUCGCAAGACUAAAACUCAAAGGAAUUGACGGGGGCCCGCACAAGCGGUGGAUCAUGUGGUUUAAUUCGAAGCAACGCGAAGAACCUUACCUGGAUUUGACAUCCUUUGAAUACAGUAGAGAUAUUGUCGGCUCGCAAGAGACAAAGAGACAGGUGCUGCAUGGCUGUCGU
rnacentral:rRNA from 1 species